rnacentral:rRNA from 1 species
GUAGGUGAACCUGCGGAAGGAUCAUUCACACAUGCCAAGUGCAUAAUCCAAGCCUUGAAUCUAGGUUGUGCUACGGCGGAUUGGUCGGCCAGCAAUUGAAACUUGUUGUACUAUGGCUCCUUGUUUACAGGGUGACUAUCGGCAAUAAGUAUGUUUCGUUGGUCUAUGCUUUCUGCCUUUUAUUUUACUUGUUUAAACGUUUUCAUUUAACAUGUCCAUAAAAAAAAGAAAAGAAAAUUUUCAACGAUGGAUAUCUGGGUUCCCAUACCGAUGAAGAACGCAGCGAACUGCGAUAAGCAAUGCGAAUAGCAGAAUUCCGCGAGACAUCAGAUUUUCGAACGCAUUUGGCGCUAGUUUACUAGCAUGUUUGUUUCAGUGUGUUUGGAGAGCACAUCUCAUCACUAUAGCAUAAUGCGAUUGAGGCUUCGGCUUCUUUCGUUAAAUAAGAAGUGUGAGGUCUUGAUAGCCUCCAAAACGAAGUAGUCACAUUGAAUGUGAUCUCGUUUUGGAAGAAAGGCUGUCAAAUUAUGGCAAUACACUCAGAAACUUAUCAAUCUCCUAUGUCAACACCUGAGAUCAAGCAAGAUAACCCGCUGAACUUAAGCGUAUCAGUA